GACCGCNUGGGGAGUACGGUCGCAAGAUUAAAACUCAAAGGAAUUGNCGGGGACCCGCACAAGCGGUNGAUGANGUGGAUUAAUUCGAUGCAACGCGAAAANCCUUACNUACGCUUGACAUGUCCGGAACCCUGAAGAGAUUUGGGGGUGCUCGAAAGAGAGCCGGNAACACAGGUGNUGCAUGGCNGUCGUCAGCUCGUGUCGUGAGAUGUNNNNNANAANNNCCGCAACGAGCGCAACCCUUAUCAUUAGUUGCUANGCAAGGGCACUCUAAUGAGACUGCCGGUGACAAACUGGAGGAAGGUGGGGANGACGUCAAGUCCUCAUGGCCCUUAUGUGUAGGGCUUCACACGUCAUACAAUGGUCGGUACAGAGGGUUGCGAAGCCGCGAGGUGGAGCCAAUCCCAAAAAACCGAUCGUAGUCCGGAUUGCAGUCUGCAACUCGANUGCAUGAAGUCGGAAUCGCUAGUAAUCGCGGAUCAGCAUGCCGCGGUGAAUACGUUCCCGGGU
rnacentral:rRNA from 1 species